GGGGUGCCUGCUCUCGUGAAGUAUCUCUAAUUCCACCUCAAAUAUACGUACAGUUUAGGCCUGAGUGCAUUGUAAGGGCUUCUUGUGAUAUGUUCCUGCGCGUUUGUAUAGUGAUAGUGCUGUGAUGUGUGCGUGGGUGAAGGUACAUGAGCGAAUGAGGUGAUCACGUGACUGCCGCCUUGUGGUGUACGCGUGACGCCCCAUAGGAAAGGGUUCGGCAGCGUGCGUGGAGUCAGCUGGGCGGCGGCACGUGCAGGCAGAGGGAGGAGAGGCGCUGUAAAGAAUGAAGGGUGAAUCACAAUUGGACAGGAGGUGAGCGUGGCGGCAGGUGUGUCCAGGUGCUGAGGUGCUGGGCGGGGGUCACGUUGGAGUGCCACAGGUAACGUCGGUGCCACGUCUUGACAGAGCACGAUGGGGUGAGCCUUGGACUGAUCCUUGUGACCCACCACCAUCACGUCAUCUACCAGGGCCCCGCCAGCCACCAUCUUCAGCCGCCAGCCAAGGUAAAUGGUUAAUUUCACGUAUAUUUGCUGUGGUCACCUGAAUGCUGUUGAUGCAAGGCAGUGCUUCACAGGCAACACUCUUUAUGUAAUGCAGAGGCUCCGAAAUGAGAUUAUGUAGACUUUAAAUGAGAGGUGACUUUGGACGGGGAAAGUACUGCUGUGGUGACCUCGUGUUACGUCAUGAUUGCUGUCCUUACCCGUUGAAAAAAUGAAAUGAAGAGAUAAAAAAAGCAGGAAAGUUUGAGCUGAAGCACUUAGCACUGCACAGUUUUCAUCAUCUACGUGACGAGUGUUAUUAACUUGGGCAACACCUCCCUCUAUCACACUUAAAAUCCAGUUUGAUGUCUGCUCUGCUCUCUGAUGGAGAAAUUCUGGACCCAUAACGAGCGCUAACUGCCGAAGCAACUCGCGUAUAUUUCUGGGCCACUAACGAUGGUUAAUGUGGCGAGGCAGCUCGUGAAUAUUAACGAGGCCUUGUGACGCCCAGCCCGGCACACCCACGCCACGCCAGGGUGUGCCGGAAGAAGUGCUCACACCGACAUCACCCCGUGGCGGCAUCACAGGGGCACAGGAGUCACCGCGGCACGCCCCUCCCGCCUCAUUGGCCUGUGAUCCCGCGGUGUUAGCCAUGCCGUGCGGUCCUCACCUCCAGCAUCAUCACUGUAUGACGUUGUUGUUGUUUUGGCAUGAACAGUGAGUUGCACUAAGAAUAUGUAAGAACAGAAUCACAACAAAUCCCUGCCUGUCCUUAAGCAGAGGACUGGACGGCCAAAGGUGUUAGAGCAUCACGCGUAGAGGUGUUUUGUUUGUGUGUCUUGUGGCGAGGCGGUUGGGGAGAGGAGCACAGUGAGGCGGUGCACGUGGUGGAGGGCAGGGCGGGGAGGAACAGAGCGAGGCGGUGCAGCGCGAUAUUUAGUCCACCAGUGCCUUUGUGUCCGCCCCAGCUGGUGGUGUUGCCUCUUCACUUCACUUGAGCGCUUUUAUCCCAGUUACACACCAUGCCAUGCGCGGGAGAUACAGGAGUGUGUGAGGCAAGAGGAUGCUGGAGAGGGAUCCACUGGGCAGAAGGAAGGCAGGGAGGAAGAUCAAAGAGGUUUAUGGAAGCAAUGAAGGAAGACAAGCGGGUGUUUGGUGUAACAGAAGACCCACAAGAUAGAGGAAAGUGGAGACGAGCGAUCACCAAGAGGAAACAACCGAGAAAAAAAAAAAAAAAAUAAAUAAAU